ensembl:misc_RNA 7SK 7SK RNA
CGAUGUGAGGUGAUCUGACCGCGUCAUCUGUCACCCCACUGGUUUGGUUGAUUCAGCUGAUCUGGCCGGCGAGGAGGGUGUCCGCUUCCUCCCUCACCGAGCCUUGUAUGUUUCUCUGGAAGCUUUGCCCUCCUUUGAAGAGGACGACCCCCAACCCCACUAGUGGAGGGCCGUUUCCUCCAUCAAGGGUAUACGAAUGGCUGCACUCCCCUGCUAGAACCUCCAAACAAGUUCUCAAAAACUACAGUACCAGGGGCCAGGGGUUUAGCUCAGUGGUCCUGCUGCCUGCCUUGCAAGUGCAAGGAUCCAAAUUCA